AAACCAUUCAUCACUAAUUUUUUACAUAUAUUUAUCAUCAAACAUAAAACUCAAAAUCAUUCAUAUGUACAUAUAUGUGUUACAAACUAACAAGAGAUUUUAUUUUAAGCCAGGGAUGUUCCCCCUAGUACACGCCAAAAAAAAAAGAGAAUUUGUUGGACAAUCUCACGAAACAGUAUAUACAUAAACAUAAGUAACCGGGGUUAAUAACACUAGAAAUAUUUGGAAUAUGAUACAUAUAUAAGGUGGAAUGAUGUAGAACGAAUGAAAAUCAUUCUUUCUUUUUUUUUUCCAUAAUUACAUUCAACAUUCCUUUCACCUUGUAUCAUCUCAUGAUCCAAACAUAUCUUAACUUUUCUUAUUCAAGGAUUAAAACAUUCAACAAGCAUGUAAAGUGAAGCCUCCGAAAAUAGCAACCUAGGCUUGAAAAAUUGCACAGUUGGAGCUAACCAAGUUGAAGUCAUGUUGUUCUUUGGUGAGACAGUAGAGUGAGUACUCUGAAUCUGAUCUUUUUCCUUUUCUCUGAGUUUGGACAUCUCAUUUGUCCAUAUAUCCACAAGUCCAGAGAUCACUAUUAUAAAGACAAAAAAGCACUUAUAAAAAUUGGUAAGCAAAAUAGUACUUGAUAAAGCUCAAAAUUAGGAAGGAAAGACACUAGUGGAUGUUUGAUUUGAAUUUGUUUGAAGUUGAAUGACAUAUAUAUAUAAGGAUUAGAAAUUCAUUCGGUUAAGUAAUAAAAUAUGUAACUUAAUGGUUGAGCUGAAAUAGUGGAAAGUAUUUUAUCUAUUAUAAUAAAUAAAGCUAGUGAUACCGUGGUACUAUCAAGAUACUACUAGUAUAAAGAAACAACUUGCGCCACCAAUAUAAAAGUGGUUUUUACAUUUAACUUUGCAAACAAAUAUCUGUUGGCUCAUUUAGAUNNUACGAGGUUUUGCAUUAACAGCGGCAGGGAGAAGAGUCUCGUACUAUGUCUCAUCUCAUCUAUGCCAGGUGUGUUGUGUAAGGAUGAUAAAUAUAUGCUUAUCCUUAUCUUUAUGAUGAUAUACAUGAAAAUUUCAUGCAUAUGAAGAAAUCUAGUCCUACGAUUAAG
rnacentral:lncRNA from 1 species